UUACUCAGGUGUUUGCAUCUGCUGUCUGGUAAAUAGCUGAAAACCAUCUCCAUCCCUUGGUCUGUAAGGAAGCUAACAGCUGUCUGCUGCUCCUUGUAGUUUAACUGAAACAACUAAAACAAUUGUAGUGGAUUCAAAUUCUGAACAUUCAAAUUCUGCUGAUAAAACAUGUGAGAAAUUAGUACAGCUGGAUUGUAGGAUAGUUCUUCUCAGCCUUUAAUUCUUUAAAAAAAAAAAAAAAGAGAUGAGGGCAUUAGUAGGUUGGCCAAGUCAAGAUCUCAAAACUUAAGCACUAUCUACAAAGCCUAAAUUUGCCUCUCUGCUUAUGCAUUAUGUUAUCUAUUUUAAAAAACUGUUUGUGUGCAUCCAAGAGCUGACCUGCAUCUGCUUGUGCUCCUGACAGCAUAGCCCUUGCAGGUGUUUGGUUAUCAUCCAUUUUUGUCAUAGCUGGGCAACAAGAGGUUACAUGACUGAUUAACUGUUAUUCAACAUACCUUUCCUUGACAGGAAACUAUUUCAGCAUGUGCUAAAGUGUGUUUGGGAAUCAUAUCCUAAGAGUGAUCUCUCAAAAGCCUUUGAUGGAGGCGCUAGGAACCUGAGAGCAGUGACUUGCUUUGAAGUGGCUGGGUGAUGGUCUCAGAGGGACAUAGAAUAGGGCAGAAAGGUAGCUUCUGUAAAUCAG
rnacentral:lncRNA from 1 species